rnacentral:rRNA from 1 species
AUGGACAUGACCAGGCAGCUACCCGAGGACAUGCUCCUGGACGUCCUCCGCCGCCUCCCUCCCCGCAGCCUCGCGGCGUCCCGCUGCGUUCGCAAGGGAUGGCGCGCCGCCGUCGACGGCCACCGCCUACUGCGCACGGACCUUCUCCCGCUCUCGCUCGAUGGCGUCUUCCUCGAGCUGCGUGACCUGGACCUGCCCCUCGAGCGGAUGGAGCACCCCAUGCCCGCGCUCUUCUCACGCCGCACCACGGCGCGCCGGAUCGCCGCCAGCCUUGGCUACCCGGACACCCCCUCCGUGUUCGACUGCGGCGUCUAG